rnacentral:rRNA from 1 species
UCUCGGCAAAUUAUCCUCAUAAGUUCGACAAGAAGAGGAACCAUGAACUUAGUAAAUUAAUAACUCCUAUUAAUUUAUUUAUAUGGUGGCACAAAAUCGGAAGCCCCGACUGUUUACUAAAAACACAACUAUCUGCAAUUAUGAAAAUAAUAGUAUAGGUAGUGAGAUUUGCCCAAUGCCACAUUCAUAAGUAAUAAUAAUAGGUAACUGUUUCUUUACAAAAAGUUGGUUAAUAGCGGUCUUAACUAUGAGGAUCCUAAGGUAGCAAAAUAAAUUGGCCAUUAAAUGUGGUCCAGUAUCAAUAAUUUAACGAUGGCUUCACUGUCUCUACAACUUGCUCAGUGAAAUUGAAUUACCCGUGCAGAUGCGGGUUACCUCAAAGAGGACGGGAAGACCCUAUGCAGCUUCUACUGA